rnacentral:rRNA from 1 species
GGGCCCGCACAAGCGGUGGAGCAUGUGGUUUAAUUCGAUGAUACGCGAGGAACCUUACCAGGGCUUAAAUGUAGUAUGACCGGUCUGGAAACAGGCCUUCCCUUCGGGGCAGAUUACAAGGUGCUGCAUGGUUGUCGUCAGCUCGUGCCGUGAGGUGUUAGGUUAAGUCCUGCAACGAGCGCAACCCCUAUUCUUAGUUGCCAGCGGUUCGGCCGGGGACUCUAAGAAGACUGCCAGCGCAAGCUGAGAGGAAGGUGGGGAUGACGUCAAAUCAUCACGGCCCUUACGUCCUGGGCUACACACGUGCUACAAUGGUAGAGACAGAGGGCAGCCACCUGGCGACAGGGAGCGAAUCCUUAAACUCUAUCUCAGUUCGGAUCGGAGUCUGCAACUCGACUCCGUG